AUCUUCUUAAAAAUUUCGUUAACACCGACGAGAGGCAAGAAUCCCGGCGCUGCAAAUUCCACAAAGGCCAUCGGCCGGCCAAUUGCCACACUGCACAUGGUGGCGAUGCUCAUCCCUUCUUGCCUGAACCCUACCCCAAAACUUGGUCACUGGAAUCGCCCUCCAAUUCUCUCAGCGCUAUGCAAACAUCAGAGAGGAGCGAGGUUGGAGAUUCGCGGCGUCGCGAGGCCUCAGAUACUGCCGUCUGCAUUCGGAGAAGACAAUGGCCUCCGAGUCUUUGUGCUCUCCGAUAUGCACACGGAUUACGCCGAAAAUAUGAACUGGAUUAAGUGCUUGUCUUCUGUCAACUAUCGAGACGAUGUUCUUCUCAUUGCAGGAGAUGUGGCUGAGACCUACACUAAUUUUGUUUCAACCAUGGCUCUGUUGAAGGAUAGAUUUCAGCGCGUCUUCUUUGUGCCUGGGAAUCACGAUUUGUGGUGUCGUCGAGAGGGAGGCGAUUGUCUCGAUUCUCUUGAAAAGAUGAGUAAACUUCUUGAUGCGUGUAGGGGUCUUGGAGUUGAUACCAAUCCGGCAGUUUUGAACGAAUUGGGAAUCAUUCCUCUGUUCUCUUGGUAUCAUGAGGCGAGUGGUUAAUUGUUACUUCAGUUCUAGAGGUAUCGAUGCUUGUUCUUAUCGGUCAUUUGAUGUUUUGAUCUACUUCAGAGCUUUGACAGAGAAGUGGACAUAAGGACAUCCGCAUUCCAUCUUUGGAGAUGGUGAUUCACUUUCUUUUCCCCUAGUGUGCAAAGACUUCCAUGCUUGCAAGUGGCCUGGAGAACUUUCAAAUGAAGGCACUUCCCUAGCAUUGUUCUUUGAUGCGAUGAACGAAAAGAAUCAUAUAAUGGUUGAGGAAAUCCAGAGGACCUGCAGUCAAAUAAUUACAUUUUCUCAUUUUGUUCCAAGGCCAGAGCUAUGUCCAGAAAAGAGGAUGCUAUUCUAUCCGAAACUCCCCAAAAUUAUUGGCUCGGAUUACCUGGAGGAUCGUAUAAGGUCCAUACACGGGAGUAAAGACACAGCAUCGGCCUGUCAUCUGUUUGGUCAUACUCAUUUCUGCUGGGAUCUUGUACUUGAUGGCAUCAGAUACGUUCAGGCUCCAUUGGCUUAUCCCAGAGAACGCAAGAGGAGGAUGAAUGGUGGUGAAAAUUGGCUUCCUUUCUGCAUUUAUUCCAAUGGAAGGUUCGCUCAUAAACUCACCCCUUGUUAUUGGUCCGAUUAUUAUGCUGCCAAUCCAAGAUCACCCCACAACACUCAACUUGCUCCUUGGGUUGCCAAAUUUUAUAGAAGAUUAUAGAACAUCCAUCUUGUAUUCCCAUAAUAUAAUUAUCUUUAUUUUCUAAAGUUGAGUUUU